CCUACGGGGGGCUGCAGUGGGGAAUAUUGCACAAUGGAGGAAACCCUGAUGCAGCAACGCCGCGUGAGCGAUGAAGGCCUUCGGAUCGUAAAGCUCUGUCCUAAGGGAAGAAUACGAACGUAACCGAAGGAGGAAGCCCGGCCUACCUAAGUGCCAGCAGCCGCGGUAAUAGUUGGGGGGAAAGGGUGAUCGGGAAUUACUGGGCGUAAAGGGUGGGUAGGCGGCCCGUCAAGUCAGUGGUGAAAGGAUGGGGCUCAACCGUAGUAAGCCUUUGAAACUGUAGGGCUUGAGUGAAGGAGAGGAGAGUGGAAUUCCCAGUGUAGCGGUGAAAUGCGUAGAUAUUGGGAGGAACACCAGUUGCGAAGGCGGCUCUCUGGGCUGUAACUGACGCUGAGGCACGAAAGCGUGGGGAGCGAACAGGAUUAGAUACCCUAGUAGUC
rnacentral:rRNA from 1 species